rnacentral:rRNA from 1 species
CCGAGCCGCCGCGGGAACACCGGCGGCCCGAGUGGUGAUCGUGAUUAUUGGGUCUAAAGGGUCCGUAGCCGGUUUGGUCAGUCCUCCGGGAAAUCUGAUAGCUCAACUAUUAGGCUUUCGGGGGAUACUGCCAGACUUGGAACCGGGAGAGGUAAGAGGUACUACAGGGGUAGGAGUGAAAUCUUGUAAUCCCUGUGGGACCACCUGUGGCGAAGGCGUCUUACCAGAACGGGUUCGACGGUGAGGGACGAAAGCUGGGGGCACGAACCGGAUUAGAUACCCGGGUAGUCCCAGCCGUAAACGAUGCUCGCUAGGUGUCAGGCAUGGCGCGACCGUGUCUGGUGCCGCAGGGAAGCCGUGAAGCGAGCCACCUGGGAAGUACGGCCGCAAGGCUGAAACUUAAAGGAAUUGGCGGGGGAGCACAACAACGGGUGGAAGCCUGCGGUUUAAUUGGACUCAACGCCGGACAACUCACCGGGGGCGACAGCAAUAUGUAGGCCAAGCUGAAGACUUUGCCUGAAUCGCUGAGAGGAGGUGCAUGG